AGGGCGGGACACGUGGUAUCCUGUCUGAAUAUGGGGGGACCAUCCUCCAAGGCUAAAUACUCCUGACUGACCGAUAGUGAACCAGUACCGUGAGGGAAAGGCGAAAAGAACCCCGGCGAGGGGAGUGAAAAAGAACCUGAAACCGUGUACGUACAAGCAGUGGGAGCACAGAGCAAUCUGUGUGACUGCGUACCUUUUGUAUAAUGGGUCAGCGACUUAUAUUCUGUAGCAAGGUUAACCGAAUAGGGGAGCCGAAGGGAAACCGAGUCUUAACUGGGCGUUAAGUUGCAGGGUAUAGACCCGAAACCCGGUGAUCUAGCCAUGGGCAGGUUGAAGGUUGGGUAACACUAACUGGAGGACCGAACCGACUAAUGUUGAAAAAUUAGCGGAUGACUUGUGGCUGGGGGUGAAAGGCCAAUCAAACCGGGAGAUAGCUGGUUCUCCCCGAAAGCUAUUUAGGUAGCGCCUCGUGAAUUCAUCUCCGGGGGUAGAGCACUGUUUCGGCAAGGGGGUCAUCCCGACUUACCAACCCGAUGCAAACUGCGAAUACCGGAGAAUGUUAUCACGGGAGACACACGGCGGGUGCUAACGUCCGUCGUGAAGAGGGAAACAACCCAGACCGCCAGCUAAGGUCCCAAAGUCAUGGUUAAGUGGGAAACGAUGUGGGAAGGCCCAGACAGCCAGGAUGUUGGCUUAGAAGCAGCCAUCAUUUAAAGAAAGCGUAAUAGCUCACUGGUCGAGUCGGCCUGCGCGGAAGAUGUAACGGGGCUAAACCAUGCACCGAAGCUGCGGCAGCGACACUGUGUGUUGUUGGGUAGGGGAGCGUUCUGUAAGCCUGUGAAGGUGUGCUGUGAGGCAUGCUGGAGGUAUCAGAAGUGCGAAUGCUGACAUAAGUAACGAUAAAGCGGGUGAAAAGCCCGCUCGCCGGAAGACCAAGGGUUCCUGUCCAACGUUAAUCGGGGCAGGGUGAGUCGACCCCUAAGGCGAGGCCGAAAGGCGUAGUCGAUGGGAAACAGGUUAAUAUUCCUGUACUUGGUGUUACUGCGAAGGGGGGACGGAGAAGGCUAUGUUGGCCGGGCGACGGUUGUCCCGGUUUAAGCGUGUAGGCUGGUUUUCCAGGCAAAUCCGGAAAAUCAAGGCUGAGGCGUGAUGACGAGGCACUACGGUGCUGAAGCAACAAAUGCCCUGCUUCCAGGAAAAGCCUCUAAGCAUCAGGUAACAUCAAAUCGUACCCCAAACCGACACAGGUGGUCAGGUAGAGAAUACCAAGGCGCUUGAGAGAACUCGGGUGAAGGAACUAGGCAAAAUGGUGCCGUAACUUCGGGAGAAGGCACGCUGAUAUGUAGGUGAAGUCCCUCGCGGAUGGAGCUGAAAUCAGUCGAAGAUACCAGCUGGCUGCAACUGUUUAUUAAAAACACAGCACUGUGCAAACACGAAAGUGGACGUAUACGGUGUGACGCCUGCCCGGUGCCGGAAGGUUAAUUGAUGGGGUCAGCGCAAGCGAAGCUCUUGAUCGAAGCCCCGGUAAACGGCGGCCGUAACUAUAACGGUCCUAAGGUAGCGAAAUUCCUUGUCGGGUAAGUUCCGACCUGCACGAAUGGCGUAAUGAUGGCCAGGCUGUCUCCACCCGAGACUCAGUGAAAUUGAACUCGCUGUGAAGAUGCAGUGUACCCGCGGCAAGACGGAAAGACCCCGUGAACCUUUACUAUAGCUUGACACUGAACAUUGAGCCUUGAUGUGUAGGAUAGGUGGGAGGCUUUGAAGUGUGGACGCCAGUCUGCAUGGAGCCGACCUUGAAAUACCACCCUUUAAUGUUUGAUGUUCUAACG
rnacentral:rRNA from 1 species